rnacentral:rRNA from 1 species
UACCUAUAAGACUGGGAUAACUUCGGGAAACCGGAGCUAAUACCGGAUAAUAUUUUGAACCGCAUGGUUCAAAAGUGAAAGACGGUCUUGCUGUCACUUAUAGAUGGAUCCGCGCUGCAUUAGCUAGUUGGUAAGGUAACGGCUUACCAAGGCAACGAUGCAUAGCCGACCUGAGAGGGUGAUCGGCCACACUGGAACUGAGACACGGUCCAG